UUUAAAAUGUGGUUGUGAGCCUCCACCUGAAUGCUGGGACCUGACUAUAGAUCCUCUUCCAAGAGCAGUAUAUACUAUUGUGAACCUGAGCUAUUUUUCUAGUCCAUCCCCCAGCCUCCCAAGACAGGGUUUUACCCUGUAACCAUACUCACUUUGAACUCCUAGUAACCCUUCUGUCUCAGUAUCCAUAGUUUAAGAUUCUAGGCAAGAGGUACCAUACAUUUGGCCAACCCAAACACUCCUAAAAAUUAGAUAAAAGCCAGAUCUAAUAGCACAUACGUCUGCAAUCCCAGCUACUCAGGAACAAAACAAUGUGGUGAUGGAGUGUAUCUUUAAUCCCAGCACUUAGGAGGAAGAGAUAGGCGGAUCUCUGUGAGACUGAGGCCAGCAUAGUUUACAGAAUAAGUUCCAGGAUAGCCAGGGAUACGCAGAAAAACCCUUUCUCAAAAAACCAAAACCCAAACCAAACCCAACCCAACAAAAAACUCAAGCCUACUUGGGCUACACUGCAAUUGCAGGGCCAACCCUAACAAUUUAAAGACCUUGUUCCAAAAUAAAAAGCUAUGAGUUGUUUGGAAUACAGGCACAUGAGGCCUGGAGUUCAAUAUCUAAUAUUGAUCGGGUGGGGAGGAUGAGUACUAGGGAAGUUUAGGUAGGAUGAUUCCAACUUCAAGGUCUUCUUGACAAUUCAGAAAGACCCGUCUCAAACCAAAAACCCGGGCUAGGAGUAUAGCUUAGUGGUAGAAUGUGUCCCUAAGACAUGAAAAGGCCUCCUACAUUAAAUCCCCAGCAUUUUACAGAAACUCCUAAUCUGAGCAUGCUUUGUCUAGAAUUCCAGCAUUCAGAAGCAGAGGUACAUGACAGACUUGGCAUUGGGGGAAGAGGGGGAAAGGCUUGAGGAUGUAGCUUAGUUGAGCUGUCUACCAUGCUCUAAACCCUGAGUUUGAUCUCCAGCACUAAAUAAAACUGGGCAUGGUGCACGCACACCAGCGCUUGGAGGUUAGAAGCAAGAGGAACAGAAUUUCAGAUUAGUUUAUCAUACUCAGCUAUAUACAGAUGUGCACAUCUAUACCCCCUUUUUAAAAAGCCCAUCAUGGUGUCAACAUACCUUCAAUCCCAGCACUCAAGAGAUAGAAGCAGGCAGGUCUCUGAGUUGAAGCCAGUCCAGACCAACUUAAAAAGUUAUUUCUAUAUAGUUUGAAUACGAGAUUUGGAAAAUAGUGUGCAUAGGGGAAUAGAGUAAUGAUAUGUGCCAUAUUGUAAAGACAGAACAAUUAACUUCUCCAGCUUGAAUUGGCUUUCUACAGCUCAGCAGGAGCUUAAAGAUGGGAUACACCCAAUACAAGCAUCAGGCAAACCAGAAAAUAAGGAGUUAUGUUUAGGCUCAUAGGUCAUUACAUUAAUAUCUGAAGGCAAUCUAUUCCACGGGUUUGCACGGCAUUAUAAUUAGGUGGCUGUCAGAGACACAAACAGGUUCCUUAGAGCUGAGGACAGAAGUGCCUUGGGCAUGCUACGCAAGGGUUUUAACAGCUCUCUACUUACAGCCCUAAAGAUUUAUUUUUUAAAAAUUUAUUACACAGUGUUCUGCCGGCAAGUAUGCCUGCAGGCCAGAAAAGAGCAUAGAUCUUAUUGAAGAUGGUUGUGAGUAACCAUGUGGUUGCUGGAAAUUGAACUCAGGACCUCUGGAAGAGCACAAAGUGCUCUUAACCCCCAAUCAACUCUCCAACCCCUAAAUAUUUUUUUUAUAGGGCAGGUAACCCCACUUAAGAUAGAGGUCAAUAUAGAAGUUGGCAGGUAGCAGUUGGUAACUCAUUUAUAGUCAAAUCUAAUUUAGGGUGCAAAGAUAUUCCAUUUAAAUGGUUUCUCACUGUGCUAUUGUCAUCUGUAACUCGAGGCACUCCUGAGUAGUUUGAACUACAACAUGAACACUACAGUACCCCUGCUUCAAAUCAAAUAACCAAUGAGAAUGCUCACUUCUGAUUUAAUUUUGACAAAGUUGAGCAAACAGGAACUGGCCUUACUUUUGAUAAGCAGUGGCAACAGCAUCUUGUCCCAAUAAUUGUAACUUGGAGGAAUGGACUCAAUCCCCAACAUCACAAAUCAUUCCACCACCCUUUUCACAAAUGAGUUAUCUUUCUGCUCCUGAAAGUUUUGAAGAGUCAUGGAUAUUAUCAUGUAGUUUGAUACCAUGCUUUAAAAAAAAGAAUCCUUUAAUCACUAGAAUGCAACAUUUGCAUUUUUUCCCACCAAAUAGUAAGUUUGAACUCUCAUAUUUUUGGUAAUGUGUCAUCUUUCAUUAAAGAAAUACUACAAAACAAUCCUCAAAGGGUUAAUAGCUCAGUGCUAUAACACUUGCCUACCCAGCAUGUACAAAGUCCUGGGUUAGCUCUCCUACACUAUAGUGAUUAAACUCAGCUAGUUAUCUCAAUACAUUUCCAGCUAUGGGGGAUUCUAAAUGAAGGGAGGGCAUUAUGUUGUUCAAGCCAGUCACCAGUCUAAAACUCCUUACCUUCCUCCUAAGUGCUAGGAUUUCAGUUCUGUCCCAUUCCCUAAGUUUCUGUUUAGUCCUCGAACACCAGGAACUGGCUCUCUAGACCAGGGUGACUUCAAAGAUUCCCCUGCCUCUGCCUCCUAGAGUUAGAAUUAGUGUGCCACCACACCCACCUUGGUUGCCCAUUUUUUAACUUCCAAAACUGUGGGGUAGGGGUGGAAUGGGCAGAUGGGACAUUGACGACAUUCCACAGGUUGAGGAUAUGGCUCAGGGGUUGAAGACUUAUUAUACUCAGCAUGUACAUGUCCUUUAGUUGAAUACCUAACAUUGCAACAACUACUCAGUAAGAAAAGUGUAUGUGAAAGCAGGAGUGGUGGUAGAAAGGAAAUCUUCCCCUCCUAGAUAAUUCAGAUACUGGAUAAUGACCUUAAAAAUUCUUAGAGGAAGGCCUGGUAGUGGUGGUUCAUGCUUUUCAUUGAACAUGAACAAAGGAAGACAUGAACAAAGGGGACAAAGGAAGGUUAUCUCUGAGUUUGUUUCAAAAACAAACAAGUUUGUAGAGAAAGCUAGGUGUAACGGUACACACCUCUAAUCCCAGUACUUGGGAUUAGAGAGGUGGAUCUCUGGGAAUUGGAAGCCAGCCUAGUCUACAUUGCUGAGUUUUGAAGACAACCUCAGCUACAUUGUGAGACCUUGUUUUUUCUUUUUUGUUGGGGGGAGGGUGUCACAGGUAUGGUUCAGUGGGUAAAUAAAUGUGCUUGACAUAAGCCUGAAAACAACUUGAGUUUGGUCUGGGGAUCUGGCAGUAGGAGACAAAUGACCCCAGAAAGUUUUCCUCUGAUCUCCACAAAGAUACUUGUGUCUGUGUAGUCAUACAAGAUUUAAAAAGAAAAGAAAAAACUUUCACAGAAUCUAACCAAUUAAGUGUUGAUAGCAUACGCUACAGCUAGAAAUUCAUCUUCCCGUUUCCCCUCACCUAGACCACCUACACUGCUCAGGAUGGGCUCAAAUUAAAACUAACUUUUGGCACUCCGAGUACCUGAGAGGUACACAAUAAAAUGAAAAUUACUUCUGGGAUAUGCAAAGUAACACUAGCAGAAUUUAAAACUUACUAGCAACGAGGAAAAAUGAUUGUAAAAUAAACUCAGGGUAUCUCUAAAACAUUUACUCACGUUUCUAGAAUAAGAUUGAAAUAGCAAGGAUGCAUGUUCAACUUUAUAGCAGGUAUAUUAAAAAACAAAACAACAUUUUUCUUACAGGUUUGCCAUAAACUAGACCUGAAGGGAGCAAGGAUGUGAUUUGAUACACAGGUUUGGCCGGAUCCCAAAUUCAAGCCCAAUCAUAGGGUAAAACAGGGUCGCUAUCCCAGACUGAACUCUGAAACUAUCCAUGUUGCUGGGGAUGACCUUGACUUCUGAUCCUGUUUAUAUGUCCUGAGUUCUAGGAUUAAAAGUAUAUGCUUUCACUCCUGGUUUAUGGGGCCAGACUUUGUGAAUGCUAGGUAAGCACUCUAUCAAUAUGAAAUAACUACAUCUAUAGGCAUCUGAAAAGUAAAAAAAGAAAGUCAUACCUGGGGGGAAAAAAUCUGACUUAAUGUCACAAAUCAAGCUAAAUGGUUUAAAGUAUUCUUCAAGUCACCAACUCCACAGCGGGACUUGAAAACUAAGCUAUCACUGCUGAGAGAUGUGUUUCCAUUUAUGUUUACAAUGUUGUUCUUUUGCUUGUUUCCCUUUUGAGACAACCUUCUGUCAUAGCCUUGAAUGGCCUGCAACUUUCAGGAAGACCAGGCUUCCAACACAGAGGCAACCUUGCCUGCUGCCUCCAAGUUCUGGGAUUAAAGGAAUCUCUGUGCUCAUGGGUAUCCCUGCACAGUCUAAGAAUUAAGACCCUAGAUUAAAAACCCUGUACAGAGGACAGGAAGAGAUGGCUUAAUGGGCAAAGCUGCCUGCUGCCAAGCCUGACAACUUGAGUUGGAUUCCAGAACCCACCUGCGCGUUUUCAUCCUCUUACCUCCACUAAUAAGGAAUACAGACAAAAGUUCGGCGUGAUUCACGACUCCAGCACUUAGGAGGCUGAUCCAGGAGGAUCACCUAGUGAUCCUAAAAUCUUAUCUAAAAUGUGUGAAGAUAUAUUUUGAUACUGUAACUAAUGCUGUUCCAUCCCAAGGUCUGAAUGUCACUCAAAGGUCAGAAAUGUUACUAAAUCUAUUUUGCUACCUCUUUGUCAGUAGCCCCUGAGAA